rnacentral:misc_RNA from 1 species
AAAAUGUACAAAUGCAUUAAUUGAAGGUAUGCACAACUCGUCAACUGGCAGUAACAUACAAAAUAAUAAAUGACAAACAAAAAGCAAAACAUUAUGGGUCAAGGAUUUUUAUUAUACAUCGGGAGUUCCAGGAACAAUAGGCGAUCUAUGGCUUCUACUGAUGGGGUAGGUGAACGUAAACCUCAUGAACUUCUUGUUUACAAACCUCGUCUCUAUCUCUAUCUAUAGCGUAGCAUAUGUAAACAGUGUCGAUCACGUUGUCUAGCACAUGGAUAAAGAAGCCCAGCACCACUAUCAAAAGCACCCAUGCAAGAACAGCUACAAAGUAUGAGUCAACCCCAAGAUUGCUCACGCCCUUCAAGAUGGCACAAACCACGAUUGCAUAUAUUGCUGAGAGGACAAAGGCAAUUCCAGCCAACAAACGAGAUGAGACAGUCUCCACGAAAACGGCAGAGAGAAGAUUGCGUUUUAAGAGCUCAUAUGUCAUUCUU